AACGAACGCUGGCGGCAGGCUUAACACAUGCAAGUCGAACGCACCUUUCGGGGUGAUUGGCUGACGGGUGAGUAACGCGUGGGAAUCUACCCUUCUCUACGGGAUAGCUCCGGGAAACUGGAAUUAAUACCGUAUACGUCCUGAGGGAGAAAGAUUUAUCGGGGAAGGAUGAGCCCGCGUUGGAUUAGCUAGUUGGUGGGGUAAAGGCCUACCAAGGCGACGAUCCAUAGCUGGUCUAAGAGGAUGAUCAGCCACAUUGGGACUGAGACACGGCCCAAACUCCUACGGGAGGGAGCAGUGGGGAAUAUUGGACAAUGGGCGCAAGCAUGAGCCAGCCAUGCCGCGUGAGUGAUGAAGGCCCUAGGGUUGUAAAGCUCUUUCAGUGGGGACGAUAAUGACGGUACCCAAAGAAGAAGCCCCGGCUAACUUCGUG
rnacentral:rRNA from 1 species